UACAGAGGGGGCAAGCGUUAUUCGGAAUUAUUGGGCGUAAAGGGCGCGUAGGCGGCCAUUCAAGUGACGGGUGAAAGCCCUCGGCUUAACCGAGGAACUGCCUGUCAGACUGGAUGGCUUGAGACCGGGAGAGGUGAGUGGAAUUCCCAGUGUAGCGGUGAAAUGCGUAGAUAUCUGGAGGAACACCGGUGGCGAAGGCGGCAUCCUGGACCGACACUGACACUGAGGAGCGAAAGCCAGGGGAGCAAACGGGG
rnacentral:rRNA from 1 species